GAAGCCCUCGCGGCCCAGCCUCUCGCGUCGCUCGUUACCCUCCUCUCCCCUCGCGCCGCGCCGCCGCCUCGCGCUCGCCGUCUCCUCCCCUCCCGUUCCCGUGCGCGUGCGACGGCCGCCGCCGCCAUCCCCGCCGCCAGCCCCUCUUCCUCCCCCACGUCCCUCUCUGGAGCCCCCCUUUACCGGAAGAGAGAUGGCAAACACUCUCUGUUUCGUUGAGAAGGGGAGCAGAAGGAAGGCAUGAGCAUGCGGGAGCAGCGCCUCUGUCCGCCGCUGCCGUGGCACGAGGAUGCGGCAGCAGCGCCGCCGUCUGCCGCCGCCUCGCUGUGCCACCUAUGCUAUGCCACCGCCCUCCCUGUCGUCCUCAGCAAAGGAGGCUGGGAUCCAGACCUCCGGCUCGUGCUGCUCCACAUGAGCAGAAGCAGCAGCGCGGGAGAGGAUCGGCCAGAGGCACACCCCGGCGGCAGUAGCACAUACUGCGGGAGUAGCAGUGAAUACGGCAAUGGACGAAAAAGAGGGCCGCGUCAGCCGGCGUUGGGAUGUAGAGGUCACAUCAGUACCAAUGUCACACGCUGAUCAAAGAUGUGCUGGAAGCCUCUCCAAAUGACAUACUAGAUAUCGCAGGUGAUUGUACAUUAAUCUCCAUGGUAUUAGGUCAUUUCAUGUUAAUGAACUACUGUCUCUUGAGUUAAAGAAAAGUUGACAUGAUGGGGUUCUAGCAGCCAUUUCUUUGGGCUUGCGAGAUGAAGGGACCAGUCCAAAGGGGCUCCAAGGAUGAAGAUUUGGCAAGCUUAAUUCCAUGCACACUCAACUAUAUGCAAACACAUGACCAAGAAAGAAAUUUGGCCAAGGAAACAUGAGUACUGGCAGUGGGUCGUAGCGUAAGAGGCGGAAAGAAAUCAGGAUAUCCGCCUUGGGCUCUACUCCGGGAUCGCAUCUGUAAUGUUGAGCCACGGCCCGAAGGUGCAGUGGUGGGAUUCACCAUGGUUGGUUUGACCCCUGGCAAGGUGUCAACACUGAUGAUCUCUCCAUCUCUCUACCAUCCCGAGAUCGAUGACAGAGGGAGAGAGAUGAAUCUGGAUCAGUUCGACAAAAAAACGAAGCAGAUUCUUCCCUGUUUUGAUCUCUUGAUUGAGCACAGAUGAAGAGAUUUUUGGGUUCAGUAAAGAUCCAGGUAUUUGUGCCGACAUUUUCUCACAAAUUUUACGAAUUUUGGCUAAAAACUACUAGGUGCAGUGGAGAGUGUCUUAAAAUUUCGGCUUGGACACCGCUUACUACUAAUUUUGGUGUUGGAUUAUGCGAGCGCCGAAAUGCUGAACGAGCGGAGUGACUUCCGAGACCUCAUAAUGGAGAUCAUCUCUAAACAAAGGUCGGUCAACUAUGCUAGGCCUCCAUUCUGAGGUAGCUACAUUAUUUGUGUGCCUUACUUUUCCUAUCGAUGUUAAUCCUCAUUCAAAUUCAGCGAGGUAAGGGUUGGAAAAAAAGCAAAGUCUAACAGAUUCCCUUUUACUCUCAUGUUAGUGGUGCCGGACCAGAAAAACUUUGAUAAUAAAGGUUCUGAAAUUAAUAUCGGUUAUGCCUGUGUAACGCACAACUGGCGCUUCUCCUCCAAGUUGUGGUUUUAUGUCGGUGCCUCGCCAUGUAACAGCCCAGAGAUAAGAAGACGCCAGUGCAAUUUGGUGACAGUGGAGGGUAGGGAGGAGCGCCAACCGCUGCUCUGUCAGGAGGAGAUGAUCGGGAGGAGCGUGCCGUUGCCAUCACCUCGAGGAGCACCGAGUGCCAGCCGCUGCUCCUACGGGAGGAGCGCCGUCAACAAAGAUCGAGGUUCCUCUCUAUAUAUUUGGAGGAGGAUUCGAAAGGAAGCUAUAUUGAUCUACCAACCGGUUCAGAUGACAAUUGAAUGUUGUGGUUCAGGAAAGCAUAUUACCUUGGUCACACUGGUUAAGAUGAAAAUGGAAUGUGUCCGGCACAUGAUCAAGAACCAUGAAGAUGCGGCUGCAAUUUACGUUUUGAAGCAUGUAUUUCAGUUCAGAUUCAUACUAAUGCAUCUAUCUACCUUGCUAUGUUAUCUGACAAUUGUUCACUGGUCAAGUUAUUUUUGCUUUAUUUUUCUGGCCAUUUUUUUCAACUCCUUACAACAGCAUGUUGCCAACAUCUGGCCCCUUUACUGUCCUCUACUCUAUGAAAUAUUUGCACAUGCUAUUAUUGUUCAGACACUACAUUCCGAGAGCACUUGUGUUUGCCAGUAUUGGCUGCUGUUUGUGGCUUUCUUUGCCUUCAAUUGAUGUACGGACAAAGGAACACGGAGAGGAAACCAGAUGAGAGGCUUCUUUAGCAGUUGACCGCUCCAUCUCUCUUCCUCUCUCCUCAACUUAGCAGUUGGCAUUCAUCUCGGUGUGUUAUUAUUAUCUCUUGAGGGUGCAAAGAGCUAAGGUUGGCUAAAAUUCAUGAAGUGCCAUGGUGUUCUGCUGGGUUUGGUUGUCCAUGUCAACGUGCAAUUUGAAGAUCAGAUCGCCACUCCCCGUGGAACAAUUUUGCAGACAUCUAUAGGCAGCAAAAAAGAUUGUCAGUGUGUUGUACCAGGUCGGCGAGUACGCCGACAAGAACCCCAAUUCCGCCGACUGUGUCGAGGGAGCCCUUAGCCUACGUGGCUGGCUAUAAUCCAAGGGACAUCACAUACUGUAACGAACGACAAGGAGGGGCUGAGGAGUGGUCAGUACCCAAGAUCACACCCAAUUCUUCUCAUGUUUUUAAUUUUCUCUAAUCCAUUUCCUAACGUUUCUGCAAAGCAAUUUAUAUACUCCUACUGAAUUAAGUGUGGUGUUGUACGAUUUGUGGACCUGUAUAGGAUCCUGGCCGUGUAAUUAUCUCAGUUACUGUGUAUUGUCUAAUUCUCUGAGUAAUAUCCAUAUUUGGGUUAAAAAUUUGAAUAAAAAUAUUCUAGCUAAAUUAGAUUAACGAUAGCUUGAUGAGGGCAUCUGUAAUAGAAUACAUAUGUUAUUUUGAGAAACUAGCUUAGUGGCCCUCGGCAAAUGCGAGGGCAUCAUCUUUAAUAUGUCAAAAUGACUUUAAAUAAAUUUAUGGAUCAUGUCAUGGGAUCUAGAAUAAUACAAAUCCCCGAUCAUUGUAAAUAUACACAAUAAUUUUCACGUUGUAAAUCUAUGUGAUCUAGAAUUUGUUGUGGUCUACAACCGAAGUCGAUUAUGUGCUUUAUUAUUGCUCAUGAAUAAAAAAAAAUGGCUCUAGAGAGAUUAAUUCUUGGAACAAAUGAUAUCAAUAUAUAUGUUGCUGGGAGCGAGUGACUAAUCGGUGGAAUGUCUAGCUCAUGGAGCUAUCAUCCGAGGAUGCAGGUGGCCACGGAAAACCAUUGUUUCAGAUUAUCCGUUGUUUCUGUAGUCCAUGCCGCCAAAUGAGGUCUGUUUUGGAGCAUCUCAAUUAUUUUUUUAUCAUUUCUCUUUGAUUGUUUCGGUGGAUUACACUGAUGGAAUGUUCACUGAGUAACUCCCAUGACCAGCUGAUCGUUUUACUUGUGGCUGUUGAAGGAUUACUUCUCUCUAUUUUUGUUGUUAUAUAACCUUGCUAUUUAAUCUCAUCCACUCUGUUUAGUUGAUGCAAACGUCCGUGCUAAUAACAAGGGUCUAAUCACGUGGGAUUUUUUCCAGUACCCGACGCACCUCAGUUGCCUAGAAAUGUGGAAGUAGGGACAUGUACAAUCAAGAGCUCUCUCACUUGUAAAAAUUAAAUGAUGCUAGACAAACCCAUGUUCAUUUCAGCAGCAUUUCAUGUGGGUCGCUGCUUAUGCUGAAGUACGUUUCCGCUGUCGUUGGGUCACCGCUGCUGCUGGAGUACAGGUUGACGGCCUCCAUCUUGGCAUAAGGUUUAAGACAUGGUUGUUGUUGAGAUUCCAUCCAGGGUCUUUAUCAUGGCAGCUUCCAGAUCCAUUGUACAACACUAUACCCACGAAGUAUGAAGUGACGGCGACCUUCCUCUAUUGGUAUGUCAUAUACAUCAAUUUAUUGGAGAAGCCUGGCUAUCCAUCGAGCAAACAUUGUAUAGGCUAUUGAUUAUUGUAUACAAUCAACACCCUGUAGUAAGACAUGUUAGACCAUUUACAUAGUGUUUCACCCAUCAGAUAGUUUUUUAUUUAAUGUUUGAUUACCGGGUCUGUGAGCCUAAUGAUGUUUCUCUAUUUUCCUGAUUGUACAUAAGCGUGUGCUACUCUAUUUAUGAUUUAUGGGUUUUAUCCUAA